UGGUGGACCAACGAUAGUCUUAUUCCAGGAACAUCACAUGACAGAGAAAGAAAUGUCUAUCUUGGUCAGUGUUAUUGUCGCGAAAUGUAAACUUCCGGGACUUUUUUCAACCGACGAAUUGGAUGGUAUGAUAGCAUCAUUCAUAGAUUUGUCAAAGAGAGAUUUUCCUGGCACUUUGAAAGAAUAUUUUUAUUAUCGUAAGUAGUCCAUUAAAAUGUCUCGAACUUUUUAAUGGAACAUAAAAAAAAAUAAAGAAAGGAAAAAACAAGAUUUGAUCACAUCUGAGAUAUUGUGCAAUUAUUGGUCCAAGUAUUGGGAGUACCAUUGAUUGAAUUAGCAAUUAAAUAUAAUUCAAAUUAAUCAGAAACUUCUGAAAUAUUAUCUACGGACACACAAAUUAUGAUUAAAGCUCAUCUUCAAACUCUUAAGCAGCAGCACAUUCUAAACAGUUUUUUAGUGCUACCUUGUACAUUCCAACAUUUUCGUGAAAGUGAACAAGUUGAAAGUAUACUUGAUAGUCUCGGCGCUGAUAUAAGUAAAUUGAGAGAAACCGGCAAAUAUGUCGCUAAAUUGGAGGACGAAGCUUCUCAACAAAGACAAGAUUACAUUUCCUCGAAAAUUACGAGGAUGAUGAUAUAAGAAUAUACAAUUCUAAUUCAUUAGAUCGAAAAAGGAAGAGCUAAUUCGGCUUUAGAAAAGAUUACUGCAACAAUGAGAGGUACUACAGAGCAAUAUGGCGAGAGGACUAAUUUAAAAGCUGAGACCGAACGAGAAAACGCUGAGAUAGCAUAAAGAAAGCUAACAUUAUUCGAUCUUUUCGUGUAUCCUUACAUAUAAAGAAAAUUUGACGAUAAAAAUUAUAUUUUUAAAAAAGGUUGAUAUAGAAAAGGAAUUGAGCAAGGUUGAGCCAUUUAUUAAACAAGCGUCAUACGCUGUUGCUGAUAUCAGUUCCAAUGCUCUUGCCGAAGUUAGAUCAUUAAGAGCACCAAAGGUACUUGUAAGAGACGUCCUUAAGACUUAUGGGUAUCAAACAUAUAUCUUGGAACAGUAUGAAGACUUUUUUGGCAAAACGUGUGAUCAAAGAUGAAACUAUUAUGAGCUGCCGAACUACAGCUUGGAAGAUUGGCGGCUAGUCUGAAUACCGUGAAAAGUCAUGUUGCACAGCUUCAAGAAUAGGCUGAACAUUCGCGCAGUGCCGCGACUUUGCAACUGAGGACGAAAACAACCGAGGCUACUUUGACUACGGCCAGAGCACUUUUGUCGAAACUUGACAAGAAACAACGUGAUUGGUAGGGACAGUACGAGGAAUUGAUUAAACGUAAAGCAAGAUUGAACGCCGAAAUUGCCAAUGUCGCAUCAUUUUUGAUCUAUCAAGAUCCGGAAAGAGGCGACAAGUAGAAAAGGUCGGCCGUUGAGUUAUUGAUUAGCGAACGAAAAAAAUUACUUUGAUGAAUUCAAGGAUUCUCAGCGGACACAGAAAAUCUCGUUAAUGCUGUAUGGAUUCCUUUGGAACUUAUCUUUCUCGAUCCAUCGGGAGAUGCAAUCAUUUGAUUGAAAUCAAAUCUGGGAUUGAAAUUGAAGAUAACAAAUGCUGAGGAUCCUAAGUUAUUUACCGCUUUGGAAUUAGCUGUUUUGUUAAAGGUAACUCUAGGAAUCGACUAAAGAAAAAGAGAAGCUUUAGAAAGAAAAGAAAAAUUUUCUGGCGAACGAGAUGCUGCUUUAGUAGAUUUAUUAGCGCAAUUGGUUAGAAUCAGAGAGCAAAAUCUUUUGCAAAAACCUCUAAACGACCAUGAUGGCGGCGGUGGUAGUAGUGGUGGCGCUGGUGGUGGCCUUUUAACUUCAUUGGAAAAUACUCAGACAAAGACCAAGGAGAUUUUAAUGGCUCUUGAAGAAAGUUAACAUAGCCUCGAGGAUAUUUCUAAGUAGACUUAAAGCUCUCUUUAAAAUUUUCUAAAUAUAUUGCAAAAUUUCAUUGAUUUCGUUUUAAUAUAAUAUGUACUUAUAUAGAUAUUAUAAUAAAAAGAACAUCUUUU